AGAGUUUGAUCCUGGCUCAGGAUGAACUUCUGGCGGCGUGCUUAACACAUGCAAGUCGAACGAAGCACUUUAUUUGAUUUCCUUCGGGACUGAUUAUUUUGUGACUGAGUGGCGGACGGGUGAGUAACGCGUGGGUAACCUGCCUUGUACAGGGGGAUAACAGUUGGAAACGGCUGCUAAUACCGCAUAAGCGCACAGCAUCGCAUGAUGCAGUGUGAAAAACUCCGGUGGUAUAAGAUGGACCCGCGUUGGAUUAGCUAGUUGGUGAGGUAACGGCCCACCAAGGCGACGAUCCAUAGCCGACCUGAGAGGGUGACCGGCCACAUUGGGACUGAGACACGGCCCAAACUCCUACGGGAGGCAGCAGUGGGGAAUAUUGCACAAUGGGCGAAAGCCUGAUGCAGCGACGCCGCGUGAGCGUAGAAGUAUUUCGGUAUGUAAAGCUCUAUCAGCAGGGAAGAUAAUGACGGUACCUGACUAAGAAGCACCGGCUAAAUACGUGCCAGCAGCCGCGGUAAUACGUAUGGUGCAAGCGUUAUCCGGAUUUACUGGGUGUAAAGGGAGCGCAGGCGGUGCGGCAAGUCUGAUGUGAAAGCCCGGGGCUCAACCCCGGUACUGCAUUGGAAACUGUCGUACUAGAGUGUCGGAGGGGUAAGCGGAAUUCCUAGUGUAGCGGUGAAAUGCGUAGAUAUUAGGAGGAACACCAGUGGCGAAGGCGGCUUACUGGACGAUAACUGACGCUGAGGCUCGAAAGCGUGGGGAGCAAACAAAAGUAGAUACCCUGGUAGUCCACGCCGUAAACG
rnacentral:rRNA from 1 species